UACCCAAUCCUGACACAGGGAGGUAGUGACAAGAAAUAACAAUACGGGGCUUAAUGUCUUGUAAUUGGAAUGAUGGGAAUUUAAACCUCUUCCAGAGUAUCAAUUGGAGGGCAAGUCUGGUGCCAGCAGCCGCGGUAAUUCCAGCUCCAAUAGCGUAUAUUAAAAUUGUUGCAGUUAAAAAGCUCGUAGUUGAAUUUCUGCUGCAUUGCUUUUGCUCCUUUACGAGUCUUUGCAUUGUGGCUUAUUUCGGACUUUGUUUUACAAUGUCCGGAUGUUUACUUUGAGAAAAUUAGAGUGCUCAAAGCAGGCUUUCGCCUUGAAUAGUUUAGCAUGGAAUAAUAAAGUAGGACUUUGGUUCUAUUUUGUUGGUUUUAGGUACCAAAGUAAUGGUUAAUAGGAACAGUUGGGGGCAUUCCGUAUUUAA
rnacentral:rRNA from 1 species